GACGAACGCUGGCGGCGUGCUUAACACAUGCAAGUCGAACGGAAAGGCCCUGCUUUUGUGGGGUGCUCGAGUGGCGAACGGGUGAGUAACACGUGAGUAACCUGCCCUUGACUUUGGGAUAACUUCAGGAAACUGGGGCUAAUACCGGAUAGGAGCUCCUGCUGCAUGGUGGGGGUUGGAAAGUUUCGGCCGUGGGGGAUGGACUCGCGGCUUAUCAGCUGGUUGGGGGGGUAGUUGCUUACCAAGGCAUUGGCGGGUAGCCGGCCUGAGAGCGUGACCGGCCACCUUGGGACUGAGAGACGGCCCAGACUCCUACGGGAGGCAGCAGUGGAGAAUAUUGCACAAUGGGCGGAAGCCUGAUGAAGCAACGCCGCGUGCGGGAUGCCGGCCUUCGGGUUGUAAACCGCUUUCGCCUGUGACGAAGCGUGAGUGACGGUAAUGGGUAAAGAAGCACCGGCUAACUACGUG
rnacentral:rRNA from 1 species